GACAGAGGGUGCAAACGUUGUUCGGAAUUACUGGGCGUAAAGCGCGUGUAGGCGGCAAGGCAAGUCGGGUGUGAAAGCCCUGGGCUCAACCCAGGAAGUGCAUUCGAUACUGCCCAGCUAGAGUCCCGGAGAGGAUGGUGGAACUCUCGGUGUAGAGGUGAAAUUCGUAGAUAUCGAGAAGAACACCGGUGGCGAAGGCGGCCAUCUGGACGGUGACUGACGCUGAGACGCGAAAGCGUGGGGAGCAAACAGGAUUAGAUACCCUGGUAGUCCACGCCGUAAACGAUGGGUGCUAGGUGUCACGGGUAUUGACCCCUGUGGUGCCGAAGCUAACGCAUUAAGCACCCCGCCUGGGAAGUACGGCCGCAAGGCUAAA
rnacentral:rRNA from 1 species